rnacentral:rRNA from 1 species
AUUGAACGCUGGCGGCAUGCCUUACACAUGCAAGUCGAACGGUAACGCGGGGCAACCUGGCGACGAGUGGCGAACGGGUGAGUAAUGCAUCGGAACGUGCCCAGUAGUGGGGGAUAGCCCGGCGAAAGCCGGAUUAAUACCGCAUACGACCUACGGGUGAAAGCGGGGGACCAUAAGGCCUCGCGCUAUUGGAGCGGUCGAUGUCAGAUUAGGUUGUUGGUGGGGUAAAAGCCUACCAAGCCGACGAUCUGUAGCUGGUCUGAGAGGACGACCAGCCACACUGGGACUGAGACACGGCCCAGACUCCUACGGGAGGCAGCAGUGGGGAAUUUUGGACAAUGGGGGCAACCCUGAUCCAGCCAUGCCGCGUGCGGGAAGAAGGCCUUCGGGUUGUAAACCGCUUUUGUCAGGGAAGAAACGCUCUGGGCUAAUACCCCGGGGUAAUGACGGUACCUGAAGAAUAAGCACCGGCUAACUCCGUGCCAGCCGCCGCAGUAACAC